AGAUUAUCCGGUUCCAUGUGCUUUUAAUGUUCCAUGUUCCUGUUUAAACGUUCAUAAUACAUAUUCGAUUUGUGCCGCAUGUGAGCAAAAAGUCGGAAUUAGGUCACGUUUACCAGGCGGUGUAAACGAAGCCUAAAGACUGCGUGAUGUGGACAGCUUGCAAGAGGGCCCACCCACAAUAGCAAGGCAGCGAAGAAUCACCUCCCCAUGUGGGCUCCGGCUAGCCCCCGGGCGCUGGCGAACCGGCCACAUCGCCAACAGUCACUUCAGUGGGUCACAUGAGAUUGAUGGGCGCCGUAUCUGCUGUCGUGAUGCCAGAUUCAUGGUCAGGCUGAUCCCCACCCAGACCCAGACACCUCCCCAGACGCCGGAGCCAUCUCUGAGGGAGGAAGCCUGCCGGUCCAGGGGCACACUGACUCUUCUCCUCUCCACUGCAACGCCUCGAUUUCUCUUACCAUUCCGUAAAGGUUCCACAAACCUGGCCAUGAGUCUCACACCAAGGUCUUUGUCUCGCUGUCUCACUCGCUCGCACCAAAAGUUUUCAAUCUUAGAUUUCAUCACGGGAAACAGAAGGAUAACAUUCUUGUGUAAAGCCAGAACUUUAAACAGCUUGC
ensembl:lncRNA